GGAUGUAGCUCAGUGGUAGAGCACAUGCCCAGCAUGCACCAGGCCCUGGCUUUGAUCCCUAGCAUUGCA
rnacentral:tRNA from 1 species